GCAGUCGAGCGCGCCCUUCGGGGUGAGCGGCGGACGGGUGAGUAACGCGUGGGAAUAUGCCCUUCUCUAAGGAAUAGCCUCUGGAAACGGAGAGUAAUACCUUAUACGCCCUUUGGGGGAAAGAUUUAUCGGAGAAGGAUUAGCCCGCGUUAGAUUAGGUAGUUGGUGGGGUAAUGGCCUACCAAGCCUACGAUCUAUAGCUGGUUUGAGAGGAUGAUCAGCCACACUGGGACUGAGACACGGCCCAGACUCCUACGGGAGGCAGCAGUAGGGAAUCUUAGACAAUGGGGGCAACCCUGAUCUAGCCAUGCCGCGUGUGUGAUGAAGGCCCUAGGGUCGUAAAGCACUUUCGCCAGAGAUGAUAAUGACAGUAUCUGGUAAAGAAACCCCGGCUAACUCCGUGCCAGCAGCCGCGGUAAUACGGAGGGGGUUAGCGUUGUUCGGAAUUACUGGGCGUAAAGCGCACGUAGGCGGAUUAGUAAGUUAGAGGUGAAAUCCCAGGGCUCAACCCUGGAACUGCCUUUAAUACUGCUAGUCUUGAGUUCGAGAGAGG
rnacentral:rRNA from 1 species